UACGGAGGGUGCGAGCGUUGUCCGGAAUCACUGGGCGUAAAGGGCGCGUAGGCGGCUUCUUAAGCGUGUGGUGAAAGCUCAGGGCUCAACUCUGAGUCGGCCAUGCGAACUGGGAGGCUUGAGCACUGUAGAGGCAGGUGGAAUUCCAGGUGUAGCGGUGAAAUGCGUAGAGAUCUGGAGGAACACCGAUGGCGAAGGCAGCCUUCUGGGCCAACACUGACGCUCAUGCACGAAAGCGUGGGGAGCAAACAGG
rnacentral:rRNA from 1 species